UCCGACAGUUCCCUGAUGGCUACAGUACCAUUCUGGGGGAGAGAGGAGUUACCGUGUCUGGGGGCCAGAAACAGAGGAUAGCUAUCGCCCGCGCUCUACUGAAAAUCCCAUCCAUCCUCAUACUAGACGAGGCUACCAGGCCUACCACUUUCAAAAGAACCUGCGCAGAACCAUGGCUGUCUCGCGCAUGUAGGGGUGAAGGGUGAUGGUGGGGAAGGGCCUGGAGCAGUGGUGGGGAUAAGUCGUUGGGGCGAGGUGUCUUUCCCCACCACUCUGACUCUCCUGCUGUCCUGCAUGCUCGACUCAUACAGAGUCAUUGAUUGAGGUGCUG